UACGUAGGCAGCGAGCGUUGUUCGGAAUUACUGGGCGUAAAGCGUGCGCAGGCGGUCUGUUAAGACCGAUGUGAAAUCCCCGGGCUUAACCUGGGAACUGCAUUGGUGACUGGCAGGCUUUGAGUGUGGCAGAGGGAGGUAGAAUUCCACGUGUAGCAGUGAAAUGCGUAGAGAUGUGGAGGAAUACCGAUGGCGAAGGCAGCCCCCUGGGCCAAUACUGACGCUCAUGCACGAAAGCGUGGGGAGCAAACAGG
rnacentral:rRNA from 1 species